UACGUAGGGUGCAAGCGUUAAUCGGAAUUACUGGGCGUAAAGCGUGCGCAGGCGGCUUUGCAAGACAGAUGUGAAAUCCCCGGGCUUAACCUGGGAACUGCAUUUGUGACUGCAUGGCUGGAGUGCGGCAGAGGGGGAUGGAAUUCCGCGUGUAGCAGUGAAAUGCGCAGAUAUCAGGAGGAACACCGGUGGCGAAGGCGGGUCUCUGGGCCGAUACUGACACUCAAGUGCGAAAGCGUGGGGAGCAAACAGG
rnacentral:rRNA from 1 species